UGACAAUGUUCGCAUAGUGGUAAUCAUGGAAAUUUCUUUUAGCACCUUCUAAAAUCCCGUUCUUGUCUAUAAAAAGGCGAUCACCAAUAACAAUGGAGGCAUCGAGGUUGUGCAGAUGUAUGAAAACACUCCUAUGGGCCAAAUGCCCUGCAAAUAUUCCCUUUUCAUUGAAUCUUGUCAGGUGGAGUUCUAACAGAGCAGCUAUCGCCAAGACAAAUCGUAAGGUGUAUUCUCGCAUGUACCCAACUCUAGUGGUCAACACUGAUGGAUCAACAUUUCGCAUCAAAUAUGCUGAACCAAGGAAAAUUUUAAAGGUAUUCAAGAUUGUUUCACGAUUCUUAUGGGAAACAUUGAAAAAUACAUUGACUUCUGAAACAAGAUGGUCCCAUUUUUCAUAAGGUGUAGAGAUAUGAUAUUAUUUUUUUUACAGGUUGAUAAUUUCUUUACCAAAUUGAUAAUGCAUGAAAUGCGUGACAUAAUGUAGAUCUAUACGUGUGAGUUCAACUCUCUAUACAGUGCAUCCCAGAAAACUGAAACCAAGAAUUAUAGAUGAUUUAUCAUUACUUAAUCACUUAUACCAUAGACAAAAUAAUCAAAUGUCCCCUUUUAUCUGGAAUAACUUGAAUUAUUCCUUAUUCAUGCAUGAGUGAGUAAAAAACAAUUUGAAGAAAGCAAUGUAUACCAAAAGGUCACUUGGAGGUGGCAUCUGAAUAUUAAUAAUAAAAUCACAUGUCUAUUAAAGUUCAAUAUGUGCUCUUCAAUUUGAUACCUCAAUCACAGAAAAUGAUCAAGAAAUGUUAACGAAGUACUGUUUCUUUGAAAUAAUGCUUGUUUUUGCAUAUUCGCUACCAUAGCUAUCACACGGUUAACAAGGUUAUCAAAAGACUCUUACAUGGCUUGAAAUGGAGUGUUGACUGUUAAGUAAGUCCUACAGCUAACCUGUCAAGCAUCUUUACCUUAUAAAAUUAUUAGAAUUGUCAUUCUAAAUAAAUAGAGCUUUGUUAUUUCUUGACCAUAUUUUGAGAUUUAGGUAUCAAAUUAUAGAGCCUGUCAAGUGACUUUUUGGCAACCCUCAAAAUCGUUUUUAUUCACCAGUUCGUGAAUUAAGAAGUCAUUUCAGAAAUACCAGAUGAAAGAGGAGACUCUAAACUUUACAAUGAUAGGUCAUUUGUCUAUUGUAUUGUGAUAAGUUAAAAACUUAUUGAUAAUUCUCGGUUUCGUGUUUUCUGGCACGUACUGUACAGAGGGAUCAAAUCACCACAUAUUUUUCUUUAAAUGUACUAAAUAUGCCUAAAAAGUAUACAUUUACUGUCUUAUUUGCAGCUAAAUAAAUUUGGAUGAAAUACAGUGUGUGUGCUCGCUCAAAAAAACCUAGAAGGGAUGUAAAUCUUUAAGUCUAUGUGAGUCUAUUAUGUGUCAUUUUUAAAAUGAUCAUAUGAUGAAAAUUAAUCGAUGUGUAGAAUGUGGCUUCAGGAAAACUUUUGCACUUAUCUUUAGUCUAUAUUUUGCAUACCCGGUACUAUGUAAUGCCUUCUAUUGUGUAACUUUUGACUACCUGCAUAAUAGUUCUAAGCAGAAGUGGCAGCAAUGUCUUCCUUGUCAAUGUCAAAAUCGUAACCCAAAUUCCUCCUCUUUCUCUUUUUUAUGUUUCUCUCUCCAGCUACCUGUGGAUGUCAACAUGUUACCAGCGGAUGAAAAGAAGAUUCGCCUUGCCAGAUACCAGCCCAAGAAAAAGUUGAAAAUAGAAGAUGAUCUAGACGACAACUUUGAUGCCAAUAGAUACAAGCAUUUAUGGAAGAAAGACAAAGCAAAACCUUGAAUGGGGAUAAAUAUAUAACAGACAACUUUUGUGUGAAUAUGGCGUAGACAUUUUGUGGCACACUUGAGUAUUGCCUCAUAAAGGAAUUUUUUUCCAGAUAAGGAUUGUCAAAUUGUCAGUGAAAUUUAGAAUUAUAGAGAGGAUCUUGGAUGACACUCUGGUCCCUGCAACAUAAAGCUUACCGAUCCAUCAUUGGGCUGAUUUAACGAUUGAUCAUCAUACACAAUAAUAAUUUCAAUCAAUCAUAGAAAUCGGGCUUACAAUUAAUUGUGAAGCUUAAUGAUGUGGGGUCCAGAUCAGUCUACCCCUGGCUCAUAGAGAGGGACAUCACUGCUGCGUCAACAUCAGGAUAAAACUCAAAUUUAAGUUGGAGUACCUCUGAAAAUUGCCAUUUACCACAAAAGAAACGUUGACAUCUUCAUAAAGGGUACAUGUGCAUGGAAAAUAGAAGAUCAGCUUUAUUGAUGUAACAUCCGAGGAUGGACAAAUUUGAGAUGACAUUUCUUCUUGCACUUAUAUUUUCAGUAAAUAUGCAAUUAUCAUUUACGUCAUUUCUAAGCUUUUUCCUUCACAAUAAACACAAAUCUCAGAUA